rnacentral:rRNA from 1 species
UAGGCUGAAACUCGCCUACAUGAAGCUGGAAUUGCUAGUAAUCACAGGUCAGCAUACUGUGGUGAAUACGUUCCCGGGCCUUGUACACACCGCCCGUCACACCAUGAGAGUUGANAAUACCCGAAGCCCAUGUCAAAGUGGUCGAAGGUAGGCUUGAUGAUUGGGGUGAAGUCGUAACAAGGUAGC